GCCCUUGUAGCUCAAUCGGUAGAGCACCUGUAUUGUUGACAGGAGGUUGAAGGUUCGAACCCUGCCGAGGGCCCCA
rnacentral:tRNA from 2 species